AUUAGAUCCGCUAAGUGAGUGCCUGUUCUGUGCACCAUUGCAAAACACAUUUCAGAAAGCAGUGGAUUCGCCUUAAAUGAGUAUCUGCUGGAGGAGCAAAGCCCUAGGAAAACAAAGGGGCACGCCAGGCCUGUCUCAGAGCACACAGCUCAGAGCAGCAGGGAAGUUGCUUAGCAAAGGGCCACCCACUUGCCUAUUAUUCCUUCCUCGCCUGUGACAUGACACAAGAACAAAGUAGACAUUAACCGCUACAUUAAACCCAGAAAGAAAGUAAUCAGUAACCUGUUAUUCCCUUAAUAAAGGGAAACACAUGCAGUGUGAAAUCCAGAAGACUAAUCAAUAGCCGCAGACAAUGCAAUGUGCCAAACAAAUUGCAAAUCAAUUAGAAUCCUUGUUUUCUUUGAAAUGGUUCACUAUAUCUAAAGCAAUUACUCCUUCAUUAGACCUAAUUUAACAGCAUGACUACCCUGGCUACAACUGGCAGCGUCUGGCUAUCAAAUGGAAGAAUGGCAGCUUAUUUCUGUCUGUCUGUGAGUCUAGCACCAAUCAAGAAAAAAAAUGAAUUCCUUUAUAUGAGAGAAACUUUUAAUGAAUGGGUGGAUAUUUGUUUUAAUCCAAAUAUCGGUACCAGAAUGAGAG
rnacentral:lncRNA from 1 species